rnacentral:rRNA from 1 species
UACAGAGGUCUCAAGCGUUGUUCGGAUUCAUUGGGCGUAAAGGGUGCGUAGGCGGCGCGGUAAGUCGGGUGUGAAAUCUUGGAGCUUAACUCCGAAACUGCAUUCGAUACUGCCGUGCUUGAGGACUGGAGAGGAGACUGGAAUUUACGGUGUAGCGGUGAAAUGCGCAGAUAUCGGGAAGAACACCCGUGGCGAAGGCGGCUCUCUGGGACGGUACUGGACGCUGAGACGCGAAAAGCGUGGGGAGCGAACAGG